rnacentral:rRNA from 1 species
UACGAAGGGGGCUAGUGUUGUUCGGAUUUACUGGGCGUAAAGGGCGCGUAGGCGGAUUUUUAAGUCAGGGGUGAAAUCCCAAGGCUCAACCUUGGAACUGCCUUUGAUACUGGGGAUCUUGAGUCCGGGAGAGGUGAGUGGAACUGCGAGUGUAGAGGUGAAAUUCGUAGAUAUUCGCAAGAACACCAGUGGCGAAGGCGGCUCACUGGCCCGAUACUGACGCUGAGGCACGAAAGCGUGGGGAGCAAACAGG